GAUGAACGCUGGCGGCGUGCUUAACACAUGCAAGUCGAACGGAAAGGCCCAAGCUUGCUUGGGUACUCGAGUGGCGAACGGGUGAGUAACACGUGGGUGAUCUGCCCUGCACUUCGGGAUAAGCCUGGGAAACUGGGUCUAAUACCGGAUAGGACCACAUUUUGGAUGGUGUGGUGGAAAGUUUUUCGGUGUGGGAUGAGCUCGCGGCCUAUCAGCUUGUUGGUGGGGUAAUGGCCUACCAAGGCGUCGACGGGUAGCCGGCCUGAGAGGGUGUACGGCCACGUUGGGACUGAGAUACGGCCCAGACUCCUACGGGAGGCAGCAGUGGGGAAUAUUGCACAAUGGGCGCAAGCCUGAUGCAGCGACGCCGCGUGGGGGAUGACGGCCUUCGGGUUGUAAACUCCUUUCGCUAGGGACGAAGCGUUAUGUGACGGUACCUGGAGAAGAAGCACCGGCUAACUACGUG
rnacentral:rRNA from 1 species